CUUCAGGAUAGAGACACAUUUAUCAGGAUUGUCUUCGUGUUGCGGGUGAUGGAUAAUGAGGGAUGGGACGUCGGCUUGAUGCUCUUCAAGAUUGUCGUUUUAUUUGGGAGCCUGCCUUUCUAUCGCCACCAGGUAUUUGUGGUUGCUUUUAUAAAGGAAGAUAUCAACCCAAGAUAUCAUGAUGGCACACAAGAUCAGCUUAGGAUGCUUGUACCACCAAUUUGAUGGCUUUCAACCAAAUUGUGCUAACUCUGGCAUGAGAACAGUAACGUAUAUGUUUUCCUCUAGGCGUCAUAGCAUUGUGGAUUUGCA